AGUACAACUGCAGUUGAAACAAUAGUUGGGACAUAAUCGGGUUCUAUUGACAAUGCAAUUGUGAAGGCAACAAGGGCUUCUUUGUAUAACGAUUGAGCUUUGAACAAAGUACCUGUAAAUGAGUUCAAAGAAUCAUACAGGGGAGUAAAAUUCAAGCGACUUGGCUUUGCCUAGACAAAUUUCUGCAUUGGGCCAUGACUCGAGCUCUGUAUAGACCUUAGCCAAAUCUUGCCAAGUUUCCAUUUCGAAUAUUCUUUCCUUCAAUAGCUAUGCAAGAAAAGAAAAUUCUGAGAGACAACUUUUCUUCUAAGAUUGCUCAAGGAGAAAUGUCAUAACCAGUACACCAGAACUCCCAAGGCUGUACCAAUUUUUUUAUUUUUUAUUUUUCUGGAGAAAUAACUAUAUAAUAUCAUAUAUAAGAGAUAACAGAGUUCAACUAUCA